GGCCUUGUAUUCAUUUUGUGAUUAUAGAAUGCAAUUCUGUAGGGGUGGGUUAGGGCUCAUCAAGGCCU
rnacentral:tRNA from 1 species